rnacentral:rRNA from 1 species
AUGUCGCCGGUGACAAUUAUCGACUCAAACUAUGUCAGUGUGCCGGAGAGCGAAGCGCCACCGCCGGAGCCGAUCAAGCUCACAGCGUUGGAGGCGCGGUGGGUCGUCUUCCCGGUGCUGCAGCACGUGCUGCUCUACGUGGGCGCCGACAUGCCGCCCUUUGACGCCAUUCUCCAGUCCCUCCGGUCCUCCCUCUCCGCGACUCUAGGCAGCUUUGCGCCGCUCGCCGGCAAGCUCGUCCACCUCGAGGAAACGGGGGACGUCGCCAUCAGCUGCUCGGCCACCGACGGCGUCAGGUUCGUGGUCGCGGAGUCCGACGCCGACAUCCGCCGCCUCGCCGGCGACGAGGAGCACGACCUGCAUUUGCUUGAGCGGCUCGUGCCGGAGGUGGACAUGGGUGAGCUGCCGGCCCCCGUUUUGGCCGUGCAGGCCACACGCUUCGAGGGCGGCGUGGCGGUCGGGCUGACGGUGCACCACGGUGUCGCCGACGGCCGGUCGUUGUGGACGUUCGUCGAGGCGUGGGCGACGGCGUGUCGGGGCGAGACGCCGGCUGCCACACCGUGCUUCGACCGCUCGCUCGUCAAACUUCCCUGUGGCGAAGAUCUGGCCAGGAGCGUCUUGAGAAAGCACGCGCCGAAUCUACCAUUGACGGCGCCGCCGGCGUGGUUCGAAGAGGGGCGCACACGGUUCACCCGUCGUACGUUCACCUUGGAUGCGCAGGACAUCCAACGCCUCAAGCAGCACAUCGUCGGUCUUGGCGAAGCCAACGGCGCAUUGUCCAACUCGCCCCUGCCCCGUCCCCCGUCCGCCUUCGCCGCCGUCGCGGCGCUCGCAUGGACGUGCUUCAUCCCGUGUAGGCCGUUCGUCGCGGACGACGAGGAAGUGCUGCUCAUGUUCUUCGCCGAUAUCCGUGACCGCCUCGACCCUCCCGUCAAGGCGGGACAUCGGCGUGUGCCUCUGGCCAUGUCUCGUGAAGCUGCCCGCCGGGGAACUCCGCGGCGAGCGCGCCCUGGCGGCCGCAGCGUCGGCGAUCCGGGACGAGGUCCGCAAGAUGAGAGAGGUCCCAGUGGGCAUGUGGGAUUUUCAGACAUCGGUGCUGGCGGGUCGCCCUAUGGACCGUCUGAUGAACGUGUCGGGCUCGCCGCGCUUCAGGGCAUACGAGGACGCAGACUUCGGGUGGGGCAAUCCGAGGCGGACGGAGCCCAUCAGGAUGAAGCACGACGGUCAGAUCGCGCUGAUGGGUGCCGGAGACGGCCACGGGGUGCAGGUGUCGGUGUCACUGCUGCAACCGGCGCAAAUGGACUUGUUCAAGUCUCACUUCCUCGACCUACUUGGUUUAACCAAAAAAGAUUGAUUAUUUUUCUAUGUGGAAUUUUUUAG